ensembl:misc_RNA Y_RNA Y RNA
GGCUGGUCUGAGUGUAGUGGUGUUUACAACUAAUUGAUCACAACCAGUUAUGGAUGUCUUUCUUUCUUACUCACUCCCACUAUUUCACUUGACUAGCCUCAA